UGGGGGGGGUGGUUGCAUUUAGUUUUGGCCAUUUUUCCUCCUUCAAGCGCUGUGGAUUUGUACCAACAGAUAGUGAAUUUAAGUUCAGAAAAGGUUAAGUCCACAUUUGAAAAGCAGUAUUUUCUUCAGUCAUAAGGUAUCUGGAUGAGUAAACUUCGGUCAAUAAUUCUCUACUCUUCUCUUAAGGUGGCAGAAGUGAUAAAUCUGAAAUGGAGCCUACUCCUGUGAGAAACUCGAGCAGGAAAGAGGAAAGCGGAACAAGCAACUUGAAGUGUAUGCACGUAGGUGUCAGGAACUGGCCUGCUGAUCUGAGUCUCUGCCAAGGAAGAUAGGUGCAGGGCGUCAGCCUAUCUGCCUAAGUGAACGGUGGGAAAACUGCAUCAGGAAGUCAUUCUUCCUACCAGCCCCUUUGGCUUGUGCCUCCCCCAACAGCCAGAUGAAAGAGGAGUAGCUGGCUCCUUAUCACCAUCUAGCAGCUGUAAAGGUGACACUGGGCUCUGCCUGCCUGGCUGGCUUUGAGAUUAAACAGAACAUAACUUCAGGGUCCCAAAACUACUUUGGCUUGAGAGCAAAGGUAAUAACUUCUCAGACUAAACAGAUAAACCCCCUUGAACAAAGGCUGGUGAUCUUGAGAAAAUAAAGGAAAUGAAACCUAGACUA